GUGCUUGCUUCGGCAGCACAUGUGCUAAAUUGUGACAAUACAGGGAAGAUCAGCAUGGCCCCUGCAAAAGGAUGGCAUGCAAAUUAAUGAAGAGAUAACAAGGAAU